AGUUAAUGAGCUUGAAAAGCAUCUGUUUUGAAAACAGAAGAUAGAAAUAAUACCCUAUUAACUU
rnacentral:tRNA from 1 species